GCGGAGGCCUGCACAUUACCACCUACCCACUGCAGCAAUACCCGUUCCUCCAGCCCAAGCCACCCAGCACCCUGCCGCCGAGCCAGGAGGUGACAGCAAGAGUGGGCAAGGACGGCUGUGUCUCCCGAGGCUGGCGGAAGAGACGGUAGCCUGCUCUGGCGGGCAAGGAAGGUUCUGCCACCUCAACAGAGGAUGAGCCAGCACCUUCUCACAGACACCUCUCCUGGACACCAGAGAACCUCCGGCCGUAACCCAGCACCCAACAGCUGGGCAGCACGGGCAGCAACAGAUGCUGGGAGAAAAGCG